GCAUGUAUCCAUGCCUGCAUGUGUGCGUGUUUGUGUGAGUUUGUACACACGCGCAUGACUAAUAUUGCUGUGGUGUUCAUGUAUUACAGAGCAAGAAUAUGCCUGUACGGUUCAGUGAAGAAGAGAGGAUGAGAGAACGGAAGAGUCUGUUGAGAGAUUGUUUUCUUCUAUGGAAUGUGGUGAAUCGUGUAGGUGCUGUUUUUGGCUUUGCAGAGUAAAUCCCAGUGAGAAAAGCUUCUGAACUGGAUUCAACUGUUGCAUAGAAAGUGGACCAUUGUUGAAUUAUUGGAACUAACUAUCAAAGUAUUUGAACGAUUUCAUGUGAUAUUUGAACCCAGGUCUACAAUACAGUAUGGCAAUGCCUGUGCCCCCUCACCAGGUCCAGGGUAGUCCUCUCCAGGACGUCCACCAGUUUCUCCAGCUUGGUGUUGGCCGUGAAGAUGAAGUCAUCGUCCACCCACAGCACAUACUUGGUAGUCACCUGGGAAACAGCUAGGUUCCGUCCUGCAAACCAGCCCUAGUUGUUGUGACACAGAGAACAGGAUGUGGGAAAGAGGAAGCAGAAGCGAAAGGACAACUAAGAAAAUCACAGACAGUACUUUUUCACUUAAGGUCAUCUGUCAAGAAUCAUUUAAGCAAACAAUGAUAGUGUUAGACACAUUUUUGACCUGACAGGUACACGUACACUGUAUCCCAUCCCUUACUUGCAAAUAGAGGCAGUAGUGUUUAAAAAAAAACCUUUCCAAAUGGCAUGAUGUAAUGUUCGAUGUAGGGGCCAGAGACCAUCUUUGGGUUUUCACUGUCAUCAGCUAUUACUAUGGUGACAGUGGAAUAGUAUUUUCGCACACUGUCGAUGAGAUCUUGGAGCUUGUCAUAGCGCAGGAAGGUUUUGGUUGCUAUGGUAACAAGGGCACUGAUGUUGUAUUCUAGAAGGGGAACAGAGAGAGACAAAAAGUUAGGGUGUUGUGCGGUUGUGACAGAUACAGUCAGCCGUUGUAUUUGUCGACAUACCCCCUUUGGGUCCUGUGUUGUAGAGUUUUGGAGUUACACCAUGACGGACCUUGAUAGUAAACAUGGCUUGGUGACCCUCUGUCUCAAACUGCACUGAAAGACACAGCAAGAGUAUUUCCAACCUCAUUACCACUAAUAUUUGACAGAUGUUAUUUGGCAUAGGACUUUGAUAAUGGACACAACACAGAAAUAAGUAGUACACAGCAGAAGGACAGGUGUGUCUGGCCUCACCUGUGUCUGCUGUACUAGGGUGGAACAGUGUGUUGGUAUAGGUGACAAACUGUAGCUGCCGGUUCAAAUUGGACAGCAGGCUGCUGGUCAGGGUCAUGUGCAUCUCCCCGUCACCUUUGACCUUUACCCCCUCAACCUCUGCUGCCACGUUUAACGUUCCCAGGGUGGAGGUGAAGUUGACCUGAGAAAGAAAAAAAUUAAGAGGGAGACAGAGAACAAAGUAGACAAGGACCAGACAAAUGGAAUAGUAUUGGAAAUAAUAACUCAAACCAAAUGUUAUUGGUCUACUUACUGUGUACAGCUCUCUGGGAUGGUCUUGUACUGCAAGUCCUGAAAACAUAUGCAUCAAUUUACUGGCAUAUUUGAUGAAGGUGUUGGAUGUUUAUCCAAUCCAAAUUCACUACAUCAAUUGUCAGCUGGAGUAAACACUAUUUCUCUGUUGUGCAACAAAACACUAUUCUCUGCUCUAAAACAGCCAUACAGUGCAGUAGGUUAUCAUGGUAGUAAUAGUGGUAAGGGUAUAGAAAGUAGAUGUCAGUGGUUGCAAUAAUAGUACUAACACCGUAGUAAUACUAGUGUUAUAUUGUUAGAACACCUAUUGUCUGUCACGUUAAAAGACAAUGAGUUUUACCUCCAAAUACCCUGAUGAAGAUUGAUUGAGACCAGAAUAUUGGUGAAUAAGAUCAGCAUCAAGAUUACCGGUGUGCUGGGUUUUUCCUUCUUUUUAACAUUGUUGUAAUAGGACAGUCUCCCUCAAUUGGUAACUUGAUAAAAUUACACUUGUAUUUGUAUGCUUGCCCUAUUUUGCCAGGUUUCCUGAUGAAGGAAGCUGACUGAAAGCUCAGCCACAAUAAAAGAAAUGUGCAUCUGA